rnacentral:rRNA from 1 species
GGUUAAGCGACUAAGCGUACACGGUGGAUGCCCUGGCAGUCAGAGGCGAUGAAGGACGUGCUAAUCUGCGAUAAGCGUCGGUAAGGUGAUAUGAACCGUUAUAACCGGCGAUUUCCGAAUGGGGAAACCCAGUGUGAUUCGUCACACUAUCAUUAACUGAAUCCAUAGGUUAAUGAGGCGAACCGGGGGAACUGAAACAUCUAAGUACCCCGAGGAAAAGAAAUCAACCGAGAUUCCCCCAGUAGCGGCGAGCGAACGGGGAGCAGCCCAGAGCCUGAAUCAGUGUGUGUGUUAGUGGAAGCGUCUGGAAAGGCGUGCGAUACAGGGUGACAGCCCCGUACACAAAAAUGCACAUAUUGUGAGCUCGAUGAGUAGGGCGGGACACGUGGUAUCCUGUCUGAAUAUGGGGGGACCAUCCUCCAAGGCUAAAUACUCCUGACUGACCGAUAGUGAACCAGUACCGUGAGGGAAAGGCGAAAAGAACCCCGGCGAGGGGAGUGAAAAAGAACCUGAAACCGUGUACGUACAAGCAGUGGGAGCACGCUUAGGCGUGUGACUGCGUACCUUUUGUAUAAUGGGUCAGCGACUUAUAUUCUGUAGCAAGGUUAACCGAAUAGGGGAGCCGAAGGGAAACCGAGUCUUAACUGGGCGUUAAGUUGCAGGGUAUAGACCCGAAACCCGGUGAUCUAGCCAUGGGCAGGUUGAAGGUUGGGUAACACUAACUGGAGGACCGAACCGACUAAUGUUGAAAAAUUAGCGGAUGACUUGUGGCUGGGGGUGAAAGGCCAAUCAAACCGGGAGAUAGCUGGUUCUCCCCGAAAGCUAUUUAGGUAGCGCCUCGUGAAUUCAUCUCCGGGGGUAGAGCACUGUUUCGGCAAGGGGGUCAUCCCGACUUACCAACCCGAUGCAAACUGCGAAUACCGGAGAAUGUUAUCACGGGAGACACACGGCGGGUGCUAACGUCCGUCGUGAAGAGGGAAACAACCCAGACCGCCAGCUAAGGUCCCAAAGUCAUGGUUAAGUGGGAAACGAUGUGGGAAGGCCCAGACAGCCAGGAUGUUGGCUUAGAAGCAGCCAUCAUUUAAAGAAAGCGUAAUAGCUCACUGGUCGAGUCGGCCUGCGCGGAAGAUGUAACGGGGCUAAACCAUGCACCGAAGCUGCGGCAGCGACGCUUAUGCGUUGUUGGGUAGGGGAGCGUUCUGUAAGCCUGUGAAGGUGUACUGUGAGGUAUGCUGGAGGUAUCAGAAGUGCGAAUGCUGACAUAAGUAACGAUAAAGCGGGUGAAAAGCCCGCUCGCCGGAAGACCAAGGGUUCCUGUCCAACGUUAAUCGGGGCAGGGUGAGUCGACCCCUAAGGCGAGGCCGAAAGGCGUAGUCGAUGGGAAACAGGUUAAUAUUCCUGUACUUGGUGUUACUGCGAAGGGGGGACGGAGAAGGCUAUGUUGGCCGGGCGACGGUUGUCCCGGUUUAAGCGUGUAGGCUGGUUUUCCAGGCAAAUCCGGAAAAUCAAGGCUGAGGCGUGAUGACGAGGCACUACGGUGCUGAAGCAACAAAUGCCCUGCUUCCAGGAAAAGCCUCUAAGCAUCAGGUAACAUCAAAUCGUACCCCAAACCGACACAGGUGGUCAGGUAGAGAAUACCAAGGCGCUUGAGAGAACUCGGGUGAAGGAACUAGGCAAAAUGGUGCCGUAACUUCGGGAGAAGGCACGCUGAUAUGUAGGUGAAGUCCCUCGCGGAUGGAGCUGAAAUCAGUCGAAGAUACCAGCUGGCUGCAACUGUUUAUUAAAAACACAGCACUGUGCAAACACGAAAGUGGACGUAUACGGUGUGACGCCUGCCCGGUGCCGGAAGGUUAAUUGAUGGGGUCAGCGCAAGCGAAGCUCUUGAUCGAAGCCCCGGUAAACGGCGGCCGUAACUAUAACGGUCCUAAGGUAGCGAAAUUCCUUGUCGGGUAAGUUCCGACCUGCACGAAUGGCGUAAUGAUGGCCAGGCUGUCUCCACCCGAGACUCAGUGAAAUUGAACUCGCUGUGAAGAUGCAGUGUACCCGCGGCAAGACGGAAAGACCCCGUGAACCUUUACUAUAGCUUGACACUGAACAUUGAGCCUUGAUGUGUAGGAUAGGUGGGAGGCUUAGAAGUGUGGACGCCAGUCUGCAUGGAGCCGACCUUGAAAUACCACCCUUUAAUGUUUGAUGUUCUAACGUUGACCCGUGAUCCGGGUUGCGGACAGUGUCUGGUGGGUAGUUUGACUGGGGCGGUCUCCUCCUAAAGAGUAACGGAGGAGCACGAAGGUUGGCUAAUCCUGGUCGGACAUCAGGAGGUUAGUGCAAUGGCAUAAGCCAGCUUGACUGCGAGCGUGACGGCGCGAGCAGGUGCGAAAGCAGGUCAUAGUGAUCCGGUGGUUCUGAAUGGAAGGGCCAUCGCUCAACGGAUAAAAGGUACUCCGGGGAUAACAGGCUGAUACCGCCCAAGAGUUCAUAUCGACGGCGGUGUUUGGCACCUCGAUGUCGGCUCAUCACAUCCUGGGGCUGAAGUAGGUCCCAAGGGUAUGGCUGUUCGCCAUUUAAAGUGGUACGCGAGCUGGGUUUAGAACGUCGUGAGACAGUUCGGUCCCUAUCUGCCGUGGGCGCUGGAGAACUGAGGGGGGCUGCUCCUAGUACGAGAGGACCGGAGUGGACGCAUCACUGGUGUUCGGGUUGUCAUGCCAAUGGCACUGCCCGGUAGCUAAAUGCGGAAGAGAUAAGUGCUGAAAGCAUCUAAGCACGAAACUUGCCCCGAGAUGAGUUCUCCCUGACUCCUUGAGAGUCCUGAAGGAACGUUGAAGACGACGACGUUGAUAGGCCGGGUGUGUAAGCGCAGCGAUGCGUUGAGCUAACCGGUACUAAUGAACCGUGAGGCUUAACCUU